rnacentral:rRNA from 1 species
UGGGUAGUCCGCACGAGCGCACCUUACUUUUAGUUGCUAUCAUUUAGUUGAGCACUCUAAAAGAACUGCCAGUGAUAAGCUGGAGGAAGGUGGGGAUGACGUCAAGUCCUCAUGGCCCUUAUGUGUUGGGCUACACACGUGCUACAAUGGUAUUUACAGUGGGAUGCAAAGAGGCAACUCCAAGCCAACCCUUAAAAAAUACCUCAGUUCGGAUUGUACUCUGCAACUCGAGUACAUGAAGCUGGAAUUACUAGUAAUCGCAGAUCAGCGCGCUGCGGUGAAUACGUUCCCGGGUCUUGUACACACCGCCCGUCACACCAUGGAAGUUGGUUACACCUUAAGGCAAAGUGUAAAACCUUUGACUACGGUACGAUCAGCGACUGGGGUGAAGUCGUAACAAGGUAGCCGUAGGGGAACCUGCGGCUGGAUCACCUCCUUUCU